AUUGAACGCUGGCGGCAGGCCUAACACAUGCAAGUCGAGCGGAUGAAGGGAGCUUGCUCCUGGAUUCAGCGGCGGACGGGUGAGUAAUGCCUAGGAAUCUGCCUGUUAGUGGGGGAUAACGUCCGGAAACGGGCGCUAAUACCGCAUACGUCCUGAGGGAGAAAGUGGGGGAUCUUCGGAUCUUCCGCUAUCAGAUGAGCCUAGGUCGGAUUAGCUAGUUGGUGGGGUAAAGGCCUACCAAGGCGACGAUCCGUAACUGGUCUGAGAGGAUGAUCAGUCACACUGGAACUGAGACACGGUCCAGACUCCUACGGGAGGCAGCAGUGGGGAAUAUUGGACAAUGGGCGAAGGCCUGAUCCAGCCAUGCCGCGUGUGUGAAGAAGGUCUUCGGAUUGUAAAGCACUUUAAGUUGGGAGGAAGGGCAGUAAGUUAAUACCUUGCUGUUUUGACGGUACCAACAGAAUAAGCACCGGCUAACUUCGUG
rnacentral:rRNA from 1 species